AAAGGGAGACCUAAUACAGGUAUAAGACGAAAAAAAAGUAGUCGCUACCAAGAAUCAAUCCCAAAAGGUCGGAGCGAGGCGAAAUUGGCUUUCAAACUAGGUUCUGGGUUCAAACAAGACCUGAAUCAGGAACAAGGGCUAUUAGCUCAGGUGGUUAGAGCGCACCCCUGAUAAGGGUGAGGUCCCUGGUUCGAGUCCAGGAUGGCCCACCUGCACAGGUGGCAAAAACAAGAGAAGCUCCGAAUCAGCACCUUAUCUUACUUACAUAGUAAGAGAGAAUGCUGGCUCUGAGUAAAGAGUCCAGAGGAACCUUGAAAACUGCAUAGAGCUAGGUGAAAAAGCCAAAAAAGAAGACCGCAAG
rnacentral:tRNA from 1 species